rnacentral:siRNA from 1 species
GCGGUUGCGGGCGGUAGC